UUGAUUGGUCAAAUUAUCCAGUUAAUUUACUAUAGAAAGGUUGUCUUUAUUUUACAGUAAAGUGUAAUCAUCUGUAAGGUAGCCAUUUGUACCAAGUUGAUUUGUGACAAGAGUCUCAUGUAAGACCACAGAGGUCUGUUUGAUAUGAGUAACUCAGGAUCAAGGCAUUUUAAGCUUGAGUUCUGGGUCUUUAAAGGAGGCAAAGAUGCAAUGCUGAGAGCCUGGGAAGAUGAAGAGGAGGAAACAGCUCCUCUGUUUCAGGAAGGAGCCAACAAAAUUAUGAUAUAGUUUUCCUUUGUCAUCUUUCAACCUCCCACUGUCCCACCUCCUGGGACUUAGGAAUAGAGGCUUGAUUACAUUAACUCAUACACAGCUG
rnacentral:lncRNA from 1 species